UACGUAGGGGGCAAGCGUUGUCCGGAAUCAUUGGGCGUAAAGAGCGUGUAGGCGGCCCGAUAAGUCCGCUGUGAAAGUCCAGGGCUCAACCCUGGGAUGCCGGUGGAUACUGUCGGGCUCGAGUCCGGAAGAGGAGUGUGGAAUUCCUGGUGUAGCGGUGGAAUGCGCAGAUAUCAGGAGGAACACCGGUGGCGAAGGCGGCUUCUUGGGCCGUUCCUGACGCUGAGGCGCGAAAGCUGGGGGAGCGAACGGGG
rnacentral:rRNA from 1 species